UGCGCAUUGUCUUGACGUUGUUUGCGUAGUUGUCUGUAUGUUUGCAUAUAUGUAUGUUUGUAUAUUUUUGAAUGCGAAGAUGAAGCAGAAGUGGAAGAGCAAGAAGAAGCACAACAGCAUGCCAAAUAACUAGCGCAGACGUAAAAGGGGCAAGAGAGAGCGAGAGAGGGAGAGCUCACCAGUUAACAUGACACGACCAACGUCAACAACAACAACGACAGCAACAACAAGUCAACAGAACAAACCGGCACAUUCAACUUAAGCACACACACACACGAAGAGGAAUAAGAUGAUGAUGAUGAAGAGGGACAAGCGACUGAGACGCCAGUCUGAUGCGUGCAAAAGAGAGGGCAACAUGCGAAACGAAAAACCAAACGAAAGCGUACAAAUAAAUAAAGCAGAAGGCACACCGAAAGAAAAAUGUCUUGUAAUUAAAAUGAACUGAAGUAGCCCAUGAAACUAACAGUUACAUUUUAAACAUGAUUAUCGAAAUUUGAAGAAAAUACAAAAAAAUAUCGCACAUCCCUGAACAGUGCACAAUAAUAAUUUCAAUUCCGUUGGAGAGGGAGGAGGGAGAGCAAUAAACCUAACCUGAAUCUACAACAACUGACUGUGCUGAUGGUUGACAUUGCAAGAGAGUAGCGGAAAGCGUGAGAUGGGAAGGGCAGAGAAGAAAUGAAACGAAUAAAUAAAGAAAAAUGAGAAGAAAAAAGAGACGGAGAAAGAAAGAUGGUUGUCGGAGGAGAAGCCGAAUAAGCGCAAAGUAGCGCAACUUGCGGUGACAACAAAAGCAACAACAAUAACAAAAACGACAACUAGAACAACAAUCGACGGUUACAGCAACAAUGAGGUACAGUGAGCACCAGACACGUGACUCUUUCAAAACAUGUACAUCCAUAUGUGCAUUGUUUUAAGCUAACUAUACCAUAAAACAAAUUAAGAAAAGCGAAGAAAAAUUAAAUAAAUAUUUUUUUU
rnacentral:lncRNA from 1 species